UGGGGGAAUUUUUGGACAAUGGGCGAAAGCCUGAUCCAGCAAUGCCGCGUGCGUGAAGAAGGCCUUCGGGUUGUAAAGCACUUUUGUCCGGAAAGAAAUCCUUGGCUCUAAUACAGUCGGGGGAUGACGGUACCGGAAGAAUAAGCACCGGCUAACUACGUGCCAGCAGCCGCGGUAAUACGUAGGGUGCAAGCGUUAAUCGGAAUUACUGGGCGUAAAGCGUGCGCAGGCGGUUUGCUAAGACCGAUGUGAAAUCCCCGGGCUCAACCUGGGAACUGCAUUGGUGACUGGCAGGCUAGAGUAUGGCAGAGGGGGGUAGAAUUCCACGUGUAGCAGUGAAAUGCGUAGAGAUGUGGAGGAAUACCGAUGGCGAAGGCAGCCCCCUGGGCCAAUACUGACGCUCAUGCACGAAAGCGUGGGGAGCAAACAGGAUUAGAUACCCUGGUAGUCCACGCCCUAAACGAUGUCAACUAGUUGUUGGGGAUUCAUUUCCUUAGUAACGUAGCUAACGCGUGAAGUUGACCGCCUGGGGAGUACGGUCGCAAGAUUAAAACUUAAAUGAAUUGACGGGGUCAUAGCUGUUUCCU
rnacentral:rRNA from 1 species